rnacentral:rRNA from 1 species
CGAACGCUGGCGGCGUGCUUAACACAUGCAAGUCGAACGGAAAGGCCCUUCGGGGUACUCGAGUGGCGAACGGGUGAGUAACACGUGGGUGAUCUGCCCUGCACUUUGGGAUAAGCCUGGGAAACUGGGUCUAAUACCGAAUAGGACCACGCGCUUCAUGGUGUGUGGUGGAAAGCUUUUGCGGUGUGGGAUGGGCCCGCGGCCUAUCAGCUUGUUGGUGGGGUAAUGGCCUACCAAGGCGACGACGGGUAGCCGGCCUGAGAGGGUGACCGGCCACACUGGGACUGAGAUACGGCCCAGACUCCUACGGGAGGCAGCAGUGGGGAAUAUUGCACAAUGGGCGCAAGCCUGAUGCAGCGACGCCGCGUGAGGGAUGACGGCCUUCGGGUUGUAAACCUCUUUCAAUAGGGACGAAGCGCAAGUGACGGUACCUAUAGAAGAAGCACCGGCCAACUACGUGCCAGCAGCCGCGGUAAUACGUAGGGUGCGAGCGUUGUCCGGAAUUACUGGGCGUAAAGAGCUCGUAGGUGGUUUGUCGCGUUGUUCGUGAAAACUCACAGCUUAACUGUGGGCGUGCGGGCGAUACGGGCAGACUAGAGUACUGCAGGGGAGACUGGAAUUCCUGGUGUAGCGGUGGAAUGCGCAGAUAUCAGGAGGAACACCGGUGGCGAAGGCGGGUCUCUGGGCAGUAACUGACGCUGAGGAGCGAAAGCGUGGGGAGCGAACAGGAUUAGAUACCCUGGUAGUCCACGCCGUAAACGGUGGGUACUAGGUGUGGGUUCCUUCCUUGGGAUCCGUGCCGUAGCUAACGCAUUAAGUACCCCGCCUGGGGAGUACGGCCGCAAGGCUAAAACUCAAAGGAAUUGACGGGGGCCCGCACAAGCGGCGGAGCAUGUGGAUUAAUUCGAUGCAACGCGAAGAACCUUACCUGGGUUUGACAUGCACAGGACGCCGGCAGAGAUGUCGGUUCCCUUGUGGCCUGUGUGCAGGUGGUGCAUGGCUGUCGUCAGCUCGUGUCGUGAGAUGUUGGGUUAAGUCCCGCAACGAGCGCAACCCUUGUCCUAUGUUGCCAGCGGGUUAUGCCGGGGACUCGUAGGAGACUGCCGGGGUCAACUCGGAGGAAGGUGGGGAUGACGUCAAGUCAUCAUGCCCCUUAUGUCCAGGGCUUCACACAUGCUACAAUGGCCGGUACAAAGGGCUGCGAUGCCGUGAGGUGGAGCGAAUCCUUUCAAAGCCGGUCUCAGUUCGGAUCGGGGUCUGCAACUCGACCCCGUGAAGUCGGAGUCGCUAGUAAUCGCAGAUCAGCAACGCUGCGGUGAAUACAUUCCCGGGCCU